rnacentral:lncRNA from 1 species
CGGGCCUCCGAUUCCCAUGUGCUUUUAAUUUCAGGGCGCGUUGCUCCCGCCGCCGCGCGGGAGCCGGCGGGAAGGCAGCAGCCCCGCGGCCGGAGCAGCCAGGAGCCCCGCUCAGGGCCUCGGCGCGCUCGGGGCGCUUCAUCCACGCACCUCCUCGGGCGGCCAGGAACGUGCAAAAGUCACGAGGCCGCUUCUCCUCCCUGCUUAAUACAUUCCUAAAUUGCUUUUUACAAUAAAACACACUAGCUAGAGCACAAGUUUCCCAUGCAAAAAACUUUCUGCACCAGGUCCCUGUAUUAACAGCUCACUGUUUUCCACCCGGAGGGGGAGGAAAGGGAACCGCGGGAACCCCAGGGAGAGGGAGCAGCGCAUGGCUCCUCCGGCGGCUCCGGCAGCCACGCUCGCGGCGGAAGAGCUCGGCCCGGGAAGCGGAGCCUGCCGCGUCCAGCUGGAAAAGCAGGGGGAAGAGAACAAGAGGAUGUAUUCUCCAAAACCCGGGCCCAGCCACGCUCCGGGCCAAAGCCAACAGCGGAGCGCUCCAGCCGCGCCGCGCUCCUUCUCCGCACUCGGACACCCGGCGGUCGCGGCACCGCUGCUGCCGGCUCGGCCCGCCGCAAGGGACCUCUCGCAAAGCGGGCUGGAUCGGCCGGAGCCAGUUCCGGGGUGAAUCUGGCCCCUUUUGGGUCCGCUCUGGCAGCCGGCGUGACAAGGGGCUUUGCCUCCCGCCCUCAGCUUCCCGCCCGGGCGUUUUUCUCCCACCAUCGGGCUUUAACGUCACCCCUGCGUGGGAACCCUGAUGGGAAUCGCUGCCACGAGACAACGGCGAAAUCCCCCACGCUGCAGACCCGGCGGCGGAGGGUCCCCGCUCAGCGGGCUGGCGAGCUCCUGGGGCUCACCGCAAGCCGUGCACACGCGUACACACACACACGCGUGUGCACACACACACGCACCCCCGCCGCCCUCGGGAGGGCUCGCAGGCUGCCACGGCGCUCAGCUUUGCCCCGGAGCGGGGAGAAGAAACUGAGGGCCCCAAAAACUUUUCCGU